rnacentral:rRNA from 1 species
UACAGAGGGGGCAAGCGUUGUUCGGAAUUACUGGGCGUAAAGGGCGCGUAGGCGGCCUUCUAAGUCGAACGUGAAAUCCCCGGGCUCAACCUGGGAACUGCAUCCGAGACUGCAUUGCUAGAGUAUGGGAGAGGGAAGCGGAAUUUCUGGUGUAGCAGUGAAAUGCGUAGAUAUCAGAAGGAACAUCAGUGGCGAAGGCGGCUUCCUGGACCAAUACUGACGAUCAGGUGCGAAAGCGUGGGGAGCAAACAGG